AGGCUUGUGACUACUUGAAGGCUCACCACACAUCCUCCAGGCAUUUGUCAAGGUUCCAGUGUUUAAGGAAGCACCACAGACUGAUUGUCACACAGGAUUUAUUCCAGACAGAGAAAGGAUUGCAACCCAACAUGAGCAGACACGGCAAGCCUGGGGAGCCAAGAUGAAGAGACCCUCAGGACCCAUUGUGUUUUCAUAUUGUUCCAAUUAGUCCUUAUUACAGAGCAAUGCUGUUUGAACAUGUGGUCUCCUUAACCCCAGCCAGUGAUUGGGACAUGCCACCAUAGCAGCAAAUGCCCAGCAUCUUCCUACUGAGGGUCCCUGCCCUCAGGGCUAGGGUGGACGAUAUUACAUUUUUUUUGAAUUGAAGUUUUGUGGGAACCCUACGUCAAGCAAUCUAUGGGCACCGUCUUUCCACAAUCAUUUGCUCACUUUGUGUCAUAUUUUAAUGUGGUUUGGUAUCAUAAAGAAACACAGCUAUCCGUGGAAAUUAAGUGCAAAAGAAUCUUCACUGAAAAGCCCAAGGUGUGUUUCCUAAUGAAAUCAUCCUCAUGUAGCUAAGAUUAGGAGAAAGGGAACAAUUUGACAUUUACUGACAUUAGGAGCCAAAGCCCAUUUUUCAGAGCUUGUUUGAAGGUAACGAAGCCCAGAACUUCUUCAUAAAGAUAAUGGGCUGGCAUGAUUAAGGGACUUUCCCUUGGGGACCUGAUAAUCAUGAUCGAAGGUCUGAUGCCUCAUUGAAAGCACUUCAGCUAGUACUUCCUUCUGAUGCUGAAUGUGUGCACCUUGGGAUCCUAUUAACACGAGUGUGAGUUAGAUAGCCAGGCUGAAGUGUCAAAGUAAAGAAGAAGAAAAAGAAGAGACGAUAAAAGGAAAGUGUGUUAUUCCAGAA